AUUGAACGCUGGCGGCAGGCCUAACACAUGCAAGUCGAACGAGUGGCGGACGGGUGAGUAAUGUCUGGGAAACUGCCCGAUGGAGGGGGAUAAAUACUGGAAACGGUAGCUAAUACCGCAUCCCAUCGGAUGUGCCCAGAUGGGAUUAGCUAGUAGGUGGGGUAAUGGCUCACCUAGGCGACGAUCCCUAGCUGGUCUGAGAGGAUGACCAGCAACACGGGAACUGAGACACGGUCCAGCCUCCUACGGGAGGCAGCAGUGGGGAAUAUUGCACAAUGGGCGCAAGCCUGAUGCAGCCAUGCCGCGUGUAUGAAGAAGGCCUUCGGGUUGUAAAGUACGUUCAGCGGGGAGGCGUUACCCGCAGAAGAAGCACCGGCUAACUCCGUGCCAGCAGCCGCGGUAAUUC
rnacentral:rRNA from 1 species